rnacentral:rRNA from 1 species
AUUGAACGCUGGCGGCAGGCCUAACACAUGCAAGUCGAGCGGAUGAAGGGAGCUUGCUCCUGGAUUCAGCGGCGGACGGGUGAGUAAUGCCUAGGAAUCUGCCUGGUAGUGGGGGAUAACGUCCGGAAACGGGCGCUAAUACCGCAUACGUCCUGAGGGAGAAAGCGGGGGAUCUUCGGACCUCACGCUAUCAGAUGAGCCUAGGUCGGAUUAGCUAGUUGGUGGGGUAAAGGCCUACCAAGGCGACGAUCCGUAACUGGUCUGAGAGGAUGAUCAGUCACUCUGGAACUGAGACACGCUCCAGACUCCUACGGGAGGCAGCAGUGGGGAAUAUUGGACAAUGGGCGAAAGCCUGAUCCAGCCAUGCCGCGUGUGUGAAAGAGUUCUUCGGAUUGUAAAGCACUUUAAGUUGGGAGGAAGGGCAGUAAGUUAAUACCUUGCUGUUUUGACGUUACCAACAGAAUAAGCACCGGCUAACUUCGUG